AAGUCGUAACAAGGUUUCCGUAGGUGAACCGGAAGGAUCAUUAACACGUAUCCAACGUUAAACAACCCUGUGAACUUUCAGACGCUCUUGUAGCCCAGGAGGAACAGCAAUCCCGGUAAAUCAAUGGCGGAAAAGUUUUGAUUCGGGACCUCUGUCCAAAAGGUAUCAAGUUACAAUCGAGCUAGGAGUGCAGAAGGAUCCACUGAGUAAGGAUAACGCAUCACGGUUGCCAGAGGUCGAUCACCGGCCGGCAGACAUGUCACAGGGCUUUACGCCCCUUCAUUCACCCCUUGCCUAAUCAAGCCCCGCGGAAACGCCGGGCAAAAAAAUCUGAACAACUGUUAACAAUGGAUAUCUUGGUUCUC
rnacentral:misc_RNA from 1 species